AUGUAUUCCUCCUCUUUUCAUAAGCAAUAGAUGAAUCUUUUCUGCAGCCUUUGAGUAGCAACUUGGAGGGAGGAACCCCUAUAGAGUUCCAAGGAGGCCGAUCCCCUAAAGAGAUCAACCCCAAGUUUAGAAUCUGCAAGGGUUCUAACACCUGGUAUCAGAGCAGCGUUCUUGGCAUCUCGCUGCCCUUCCACUGCCAUCCAUCAACCCUCCACAACCGC
rnacentral:lncRNA from 1 species